CCUACGGGGUGCAGCAGUGGGGAAUAUUGCAUAAUGGGCGCAAGCCUGAUGCAGCCAUGCCGCGUGUGUGAAGGAGGCCUUCGGGUUGUAAAGCACUUUCAGCGGGGAGGGAGGCGUUAAGGUUAAUAACCUUGGCGAUUGACGUUACCCGCAGAAGAAGCACCGGCUAACUCCGUGCCAGCAGCCGCGGUAAUACGGAGGGUGCAAGCGUUAAUCGGAAUUACUGGGCGUAAAGCGCACGCAGGCGGUCUGUCAAGUCGGAUGUGAAAUCCCCGGGCUCAACCUGGGAACUGCAUUCGAAGCUGGCAGGCGAGAGUCUUGUAGAGGGGGGUAGAAUGCCAGGUGUAGCGGUGAACUGCGUAGAGAUCUGGAGGAAUACCGGUGGCGAAGGCGGCCCCCUGGACAAAGACUGACGCUCAGGUGCGAAAGCGUGGGGAGCAAACAGGAUUAGAUACCCGAGUAGUC
rnacentral:rRNA from 1 species